GACAUAGGUGGCGAACGUUAUCCGGAUUUAUUGGGCGUAAAGGGUGCGUAGAUUUUAUGAUAAGUUAUUGGUCAAAUUAAGGCUCAACUUUAAGGAAGCUGAUAAUACUGUGAUAAUUGAGGACAGGAGAGGUUAACGGAACUCCAUGUGGAGCGGUGAAAUGCGUAGAUAUAUGGAAGAACACCAAUGGCGAAGGCAGUUAACUAUUCUGUUUCUGACAUUGAGGCAUGAAAGCGUGGGGAGCAAAACGG
rnacentral:rRNA from 1 species